AAUUCUGUUACACUUUAUUUUUUUCAGUCUGCACAUGUUGCUAGGUUGGUGUUGAACUCCUGAGCUCGAGCGAUCCACCUGCCACUGCCUUCCAAAGUGCUGGAAUUACAGGCGUGAGCCACGGCGCCCGGUGGCCGAGGUUAUAAUUAUUUUUCCCUUGUGGGAAAUAUUCCAGUUUUAGAAUUUCUGAUGCCUUUGAAUUGCCCAGGAGGUUUCUGGAUAGAACCAUGGAGCUAAGUGAAGUCUAGACUGAAAAUUAAAGCUGUUAAGUGUGAAGUGUGUAGGGAAAAAUUAAAGUCUUGAGUAUUCAUGAAGUAAACUUGGAAGACAGCCUAAGUGUGUGCAGUGAAGAAUUCCAGUUUAUUUUUGACUAGGUAGAGGAAGAUGAACUGGAUAAGGAGGAGUUACACAGUUACCAGCAGGGUGUUGCGCUACUGAAGAUGAGUAAGGCUUCAUGGAAAGAGUGGUGAAUAAUGUCCAGUUGCUGUAUAAGAAUUAGGUGGAAGGAUUAGCACAUAUUAAUCAUCUAAAAAACAAAUACAUUAAUAUCUUCAAAGUCUGAUUUGGGAGAAUUUGUUUUCAUUGUUUUUUUUCAAACAGGAACUGAACAAUACCAUCAUUUACAGUUACGGGCUAUGGGUGGUCACUUAAUUGGUGUGAUUUGAGACUGAGAACCUCCUGUUCCACAAAUCUAUACUUCAUCCUCUACUAAUGCUUGAAAAGUCAUUGAUAGAAAUCUGUUUUAAAGCAUAUAUUCCUGGGAAGAGUAAUAUGUUUAGAAGAUACAUAAUUCUCAGCUGUGCCAAAAUUUAGAAUUAACUGAGGAGUUGUGUACUAAAAAUGCUCAAGAUUAUAUUCCAUGGUUCUGAGGUGGGGCCUUGGCACAUGCAUUUUUUUAAAAGCUCCCCUAGGUGAUUCUAAUGUGCCAUUGUUGAAAAAUCAUUGACAGCAUCCUAUUAACACAGUAUUGACUCAUAACGUUUUGUUUAGAUGACAUGUGGGUAGGACAGGACACCUAUUUAUAAAACAGUGGUUGGUAAUGGCCAUUGAGUAGGGAGGAUUUCGCCCAAAAGAGAACAUUUGCCAAAAUCUGGAAACAUUUUUGUGGUCAUCCCAGUGGGUGGGUUUUGCGGAGUUGGCACUAUUCAUACAUAGUAGUUAGAGGCCAGGAUACUGUUAAAAAUCCUGCAGUGUACUGCACAGCCCCCUCUCCUCUCAUAAGAAAGAAUUAUCUGGCUCAAAAUGACAAGAGUGCCCUUGUUGAAAAAACUUGCUGUAAGCGAUGGCAAGCUAGGUAGUAUUUUCCAGUGAAAUCUUACACAGAUUGGAGUUGUGGUUUGGUAAGGGUGCUAAUGAAUGAGGAUCUACUCUCUACCUAACAGCUUAGCCAAAACUCACCCUUUCUUAUAACCA
rnacentral:lncRNA from 1 species